AGUGAACGCUGGCGGCGUGCUUAACACAUGCAAGUCGAACGAGAACGGAUUAUAGCUUGCUAUAAUUGUCAGCUAAGUGGCGCACGGGUGAGUAAUGUAUAGGUAAUAUGCCUUUUACUAAGGAAUAACAAAUGGAAACGUUUGCUAAUACCUUAUACUCCUUAUUAACCUAAGUUAAUAAGGGAAAGAUUUAUUGGUAAGAGAUUAGCCUGUAUUGUAUCAGUUAGUUGGUGGGGUAAUGGCUUACCAAGACUAUAACACAUAACUGGUUUGAGAGGAUGAUCAGUCACACUGGAACUGAGACACGGUCCAGACUCCUACGGGAGGCAGCAGUGGGGAAUAUUGCACAAUGGACGGAAGUCUGAUGCAGCAACGCCGCGUGGAGGAUGACACAUUUCGGUGCGUAAACUCCUUUUAUAUGAGAAGAUAAUGACGGUAUUAUAUGAAUAAGCACCGGCUAACUCCGUGCCAGCAGCCGCUGUAA
rnacentral:rRNA from 1 species